UACGAAGGGGGCGAGCGUUGUUCGGAUUUACUGGGCGUAAAGCGUGCGCAGGCGGCGCGUUAAGACAGGUGUGAAAGCCCCGAGCUUAACUUGGGAAUUGCGCUUGUGACUGGCGUGCUGGAGUGUGGCAGAGGGAGGUGGAAUUCCACGUGUAGCAGUGAAAUGCGUAGAGAUGUGGAGGAACACCGAUGGCGAAGGCAGCCUCCUGGGCCAGCACUGACGCUCAUGCACGAAAGCGUGGGGAGCAAACAGG
rnacentral:rRNA from 1 species